rnacentral:rRNA from 1 species
CCCGAUGAACCUGAAUAUCCGUUAUGGAAAAUUCAUCACUAAUAAUAUGUUAUGUAUUUACAUAAUGUAUGAAUGGUGUGCAAUUUUUCCAUAUAAGGACAUUGUAAUCUGUUAAUGUCUAAAUGCGUAUCAUAAGAUCAAUUACAUGAGUUUACUAAAACAAUGCAAAUUGUUUAAAAUUGUAAAUUAAUUGUUCGGAUAUGCCAUUGACAGAUUUAUUAUAUAUAACGCUUAAAUCAUUUUGAUUUUAUAAUAGCUUAUUGACCAUUGGUUUUUAAGUUUAUUAUAUGCGUUUAUAUGAUUAACAAUGCGAUAGAUUCAGGAUACCUUCGGGACCCGUCUUGAAACACGGACCAAGGAGUCUAACAUAUGUGCAAGUCAUUGGGUAAUUUUAAAACCCAAAGGCGUAAUUAACUUAACUGUUAAUGGGAUCAGUUUAUAUUUAUUAUGAAUAUAAAUUCAAUCCCGGGGCGUUCUAUAUAGUUAUGUAUUUGAGUAUUUAUAUUCUUUAUACCUCUAACUGGAGC